rnacentral:rRNA from 1 species
UACAGAGGGUGCGAGCGUUAAUCGGAAUUACUGGGCGUAAAGCGUGCGUAGACGGUUAUUUAAGUCGGGUGUGAAAGCCCCGGGCUCAACCUGGGAAUUGCAUUCGAGACUGAAUAGCUAGGGUACGGUAGAGGGAAGCGGAAUUUCCGGUGUAGCGGUGAAAUGCGUAGAUAUCGGGAGGAACACCGGUGGCGAAGGCGGUUCUCUGGGCCUGUACUGACGCUGAGGAGCGAAAGCGUGGGGAGCGAACAGG